CCAGGCCCUCAGGGGUCAGGGCCAGCCAGGAGUGACCCAAGGAGAGUGAGCCCAGGCAGAGGGACCCAGCUCUCCCUGGAUACCAGUUGCUUAGGCUUGGCCUGAAGUUGGCGAUCCUCCUGCCUCAUCCACCCGAGUAGCCAGGAUUACAGGUGUGCACCAGCUCCCCAGCCAGCCAGACGCUUCUCAUGGGCGAGGCAGCUGACACGAGCCACCUUCAUUUAAGCCUUACAGCCCCUGGUAUGGGGAAGAACCCAAGCUGCGCAGUCAGGUCUCUCCUCUUCACGUGACGACCUCUAGCAGUGCAGUCUCCUCUCAGCCUUUAGAAGAUGGCCAAAGAAAGGGUCU